UACAGAGGUCUCAAGCGUUGUUCGGAUUCAUUGGGCGUAAAGGGUGCGUAGGCGGCGUGGUAAGUCGGGUGUGAAAUCUCGGAGCUUAACUCCGAAACUGCAUUCGAUACUGCCGUGCUUGAGGACUGGAGAGGAGACUGGAAUUUACGGUGUAGCGGUGAAAUGCGUAGAUAUCGUAAGGAAGACCAGUGGCGAAGGCGGGUCUCUGGACAGUUCCUGACGCUGAGGCACGAAGGCCCAGGGGAGCAAAACGGG
rnacentral:rRNA from 1 species